CAAAUAAGAACAAGAAGUAAUUGUAACAGGAUGCUGUUACGAAAUCUCCCAAACAAAGCUCCCAUAACUCGCCAUUUAUAUGGUCCCAUGUUCAUUUGAUUUGAUUUUUUGUCCAAUACAAGAAUAUAUAUGGCUUACGGGUGGGGAUCUCCACCAUUUACAAGUAUUCAAACAGGAGGGGGUGGUGGUAACCCCCAGAGACUUUACCUACAUUUCAUUUGAUUUGUUUUAUUGUCCCAUACAAGAAUAUAUGUGGUUUAGGGGUGGGGAUGUUGACCGUUUACAAGUUUUCAAACAAGAGGGGGUGGGGUGGGGUGUCCCAUACAAGUAUAUAUAUGGUUUAGGGGUGGGGAUGUCGACCGUUUACAAAGUUUUCAAACAAGAGGGGGUGGGGUGACUUCCUCGGGACUUCCCUUUUAUUUCAUUUCAUUUGUUUUAUUGUCCCUACCAAGAAUAUAUAUGGGUUUAGGGGUGGGGAUUGGACCGUUUACAAGAUAAUAGUACAUUCUCAAAUUGAACGGGGGUGGGGGUGACCCCCAGGAACUUCCAUUUAAUUUCAUUUGAUUAGUUUUAUUGUCCCAUACAAGAAUAUAUAUGGUUUAGGGGUGGGGAUGUUGACCGUUUACAAGUUUUCAAACAAGAAGGGGUGGGGUGAGCCCCUAGGGACAUCACUUUUAUUUCAUUUCAUUUUGUUUUAUUGUCCCCUACAAGAAUAUAUAUGGUUUAGGGGGGGGGAUUUGGACUGUUUACAAGAUAAUAGCACAUUCUCAAAUUGAAUGGGGUGGGGAUGACCCCCGGGGACUUCCCUUUAAUUUCAUUUGAUUUGUUUUAUCGUCCCAUUCAAGAAUAUAUAUGGUUUAGGGUGGGGAUCUGGACCGUUUACAAGAUAAAAGCAUAUUCUCAAAUUGAAGGGGGUGGGAUGACCCCCAGGGACUCCCCUAUAUUUUCAUGUGAUUUGUUUUAUUGUCCUAUAAUCAUUUCUGAAGACUGCAUGUAUCUAUCACUUACAGUUUUUAAGUUAUAUUCAUUUGAAAAUUUUAGAAAAUAAAAUCCCAUAGGGUCCUAUAGUAAACCCCUCCCUCUUUUCUACCCCCCAAAAUACCCCUUAAUAGACCCCAAUACACAAACGAAACAUUGAUGGCUCACCUAGACAUGUUAGUCUAACAUAUUGUAAAAUCCUAAGUAAAUCUGACAAGCCGUUUAGGAGAACCGCUGCGGACAAGUUCAUUUUUAAAGUGGCGGAAGAAGAAGAAGAGGAAGAGGAAGAAUAAUAAAAAUAAUAAGAACUGACCAAAAACAAUAAGUCUCCAAACUUUGUUUGGGAGACUUAAUUAACCACUUCUAAUAU
rnacentral:lncRNA from 1 species